AAUACAUGMAGUCGAGCGGMAGAUGGGAGCUUGCUCCUGAUGUUAGCGGCGGACGGGUGAGUAACACGUGGGUAACCUGCCUGUAAGACUGGGAUAACUCCGGGAAACCGGGGCUAAUACCGGAUGGUUGUUUGAACCGCAUGGUUCAAACAUAAAAGGUGGCUUCGGCUACCACUUACAGAUGGACCCGCGGCGCAUUAGCUAGUUGGUGAAAUUCCGGAAUUGCCUUAAGGUAAYGGCUCACCAAGGCAACGAUGCGUAGCCGACCUGAGAGGGUGAUCGGCCACACUGGGACUGAGACACGGCCCAGACUCCUACGGGAGGCAGCAGUAGGGAAUCUUCCGCAAUGGACGAAAGUCUGACGGAGCAACGCCGCGUGAGUGAUGAAGGUUUUCGGAUCGUAAAGCUCUGUUGUUAGGGAAGAACAAGUACCGUUCGAAUAGGGCGGUACCUUGACGGUACCUAACCAGAAAGCCACGGCUAACUACGUGCCAGCAG
rnacentral:rRNA from 1 species